CCAGUCCUUGCUCCCAAAUAUAACUGCUACUUUUCUCUUUUUUUUUUUCAAGCUGAACCUCAAAAAGUUAGCCUGGCGAGGGGAGGAUGAUGAGAUUACCCCUCUUGUCACAUAAACAAGGAAGUAAAGGAGGCCCCUUGUGCUCUCAGAACUCCAAGCAUGAAACGAUAGCAAAGGGAAAAACAGCUAAGUGUUUCCUGGCUGAAUUGUAUUUUGCUUUCAGUUUCUGCCAUUUCAGUUCCUGUUAUCGUGCUUUGAGGUGCACUGAACUGCAGCAAACCCAGAGGAUCCAAGGCUACGCUGAAAAGCCUCUGACCACAGUGCAGGGAGCAGAAGACAUUAAUGACAUGAUGUCGACACAACCCGCACUCAGGAUCCUCCAGGAAAAGAACACAGAGAUAACCCCGGAUCGAUGGUACUUUUUGAAAAUGCUUUACUGCAAAAGAGUGGCUAGGGUUUUACAAGGG
rnacentral:lncRNA from 1 species